UACGUAGGGCGCAAGCGUUGUCCGGAAUUAUUGGGCGUAAAGAGCUCGUAGGUGGUUUGUCGCGUUGUUCGUGAAAUCUCACGGCUUAACUGUGAGCGUGCGGGCGAUACGGGCAGACUAGAGUACUGCAGGGGAGACUGGAAUUCCUGGUGUAGCGGUGGAAUGCGCAGAUAUCAGGAGGAACACCGGUGGCGAAGGCGGGUCUCUGGGCAGUAACUGACGCUGAGGAGCGAAAGCGUGGGGAGCGAACAGG
rnacentral:rRNA from 1 species